UACGAAGGGGGCUAGCGUUACUCGGAUUUACUGGGCGUAAAGGGCGCGUAGGCGGAUGGUCCAGUCAGACGUGAAAUUCCUGGGCUCAACCUGGGGGCUGCGUUUGAUACGUGCUGUCUGGAGUUCGGAAGAGGGUCGUGGAAUUCCCAGUGUAGAGGUGAAAUUCGUAGAUAUUGGGAAGAACACCGAUGGCGAAGGCAGCCAUCUGGACCGACACUGACGCUGAGGCGCGAAAGCGUGGGGAGCAAACAGG
rnacentral:rRNA from 1 species